CUGACGACCUGCGGAAGAUGCAGGAGGAGGAAGCCAGAAAACUACAGCAGAAGAGAGCGCAGAUGCUGCGGGAGGCGGCAGAGGCUGGGGCCGAAGCGAGGCUCGCCCUGGACGGGGAGACGCUGGGCGAGGAGGAACAGGAGGAUGAGCAGCCACCCUGGGCCAGCCCGAGCCCCACCUCAAGGAAGGCCGGGGCACGCGGGGGCCCCUGGAGCGACUGGCCGAGGCCCCUUCCCCUGCGCCCACCCCGUCGCCCACCCCUGUGGAAGACCUCGGCCCCCAGACCAGCACCUCCCCGGGACGCCUGUCACCGGACUUUGCUGAGGAGUUGAGGUCCCUGGAACCAUCUCCCAGCCCUGGCCCGCAGGAGGAGGAUGGAGAAGUGGCUCUGGUGCUUCUGGGCAGGCCCUCACCCGGCGCUGUGGGCCCUGAAGAUGUGGCACUGUGCAGCAGCCGCCGCCCCGUAAGGCCUGGGCGCCGUGGCCUGGGCCCUGUGCCCUCCUAGAGGAGCAGGCACCUCCCCCAGACUUGGGGUGGGGGCCCUGCCAGCUCCAGCACCACCCUUGCCCCAAGUCUUUUAACCUGGGUGUUAGCAUUUUAAAGAGACCCCACAGGAGUUCUGGCCUGUGACUAACUAACUGCCCCACCCCAGCCGAGACCUCGGCGAGACUGUAACUAGUGAUGUUUGUACAACCAAAGACUCUAUUUUGUGGUUUAAGGAGAAUAAAGUU
rnacentral:lncRNA from 1 species